ACGGCUCAGUAACACGUCGGUAACCUACCCUCGGGAGGGGGAUAACCCCGGGAAACUGGGGCUAAUUCCCCAUAGGCCUGAGGUACUGGAAGGUCCUCAGGCCGAAAGGGACUUAUGUCCGCCCGAGGAUGGGCCGGCGGCCGAUUAGGUAGUUGGUGGGGUAAUGGCCCACCAAGCCGAAGAUCGGUACGGGCUGUGAGAGCAGGAGCCCGGAGAUGGACACUGAGACACGGGUCCAGGCCCUACGGGGCGCAGCAGGCGCGAAACCUCCGCAAUGCGGGAAACCGCGACGGGGGGACCCCGAGUGCCGUGGCAACGCCACGGCUUUUCCGGAGUGUAAAAAGCUCCGGGAAUAAGGGCUGGGCAAGGCCGGUGGCAGCCGCCGCGGUAAUACCGGCGGCCCGAGUGGUGGCCGCUAUUAUUGGGCCUAAAGCGUCCGUAGCCGGGCCCGUAAGUCCCUGGCGAAAUCCCACGGCUCAACCGUGGGGCUUGCUGGGGAUACUGCGGGUCUUGGGACCGGGAGAGGCGGGGGGUACCCCUGGGGUAGGGGUGAAAUCCUAUAAUCCCAGGGGGACCGCCAGUGGCGAAGGCGCCCCGCUGGAACGGGUCCGACGGUGAGGGACGAAGGCCAGGGGAGCAAACCGGAUUAGAUACCCGGGUAGUCCUGGCUGUAAAGGAUGCGGGCUAGGUGUCGGGUGAGCCUCGAGCUCGCCCGGUGCCGUAGGGAAGCUGUUAAGCCCGCCGCCUGGGGAGUACGGCCGCAAGGCUGAAACUUAAAGGAAUUGGCGGGGGAG
rnacentral:rRNA from 1 species